rnacentral:SRP_RNA from 1 species
GCUGGGCAUGGUGGUACAUGCCUGUAAUCCUAGCUACUCAGGAGGCUGAGGCACGAGAAUCCCUUGAACCCAGGAGGUGCGGGUUGCAGUGAGCUGAGAUCAGCCACUGCACUCCAACCUGGGCAACAGAGUGAGACUCUGUCUCAA